UAACGGCAUUUAGUUUGUGCA
ensembl:piRNA 21ur-1659 ncRNA